rnacentral:rRNA from 1 species
UACGAAGGGGGCGAGCGUUGUUCGGAUUUACUGGGCGUAAAGGGCGCGUAGGCGGCGCGUGAAGUCGAGUGUGAAAGCCCCGGGCUCAACCUGGGAAUUGCGCUCGAUACUCUUGUGCUUGAGUUCGGGAGAGGAGCGUGGAAUUCCCAGUGUAGAGGUGAAAUUCGUAGAUAUUGGGAAGAACACCGGUGGCGAAGGCGGCGCUCUGGACCGAGACUGACGCUGAGGCGCGAAAGCGUGGGGAGCAAACAGG